ACGAACGCUGGCGGCGUGCCUAAUACAUGCAAGUCGAACGCUUCUUUUUCCACCGGAGCUUGCUCCACCGGAAAAAGAGGAGUGGCGAACGGGUGAGUAACACGUGGGUAACCUGCCCAUCAGAAGGGGAUAACACUUGGAAACAGGUGCUAAUACCGUAUAACAAUCGAAACCGCAUGGUUUUGAUUUGAAAGGCGCUUUCGGGUGUCGCUGAUGGAUGGACCCGCGGUGCAUUAGCUAGUUGGUGAGGUAACGGCUCACCAAGGCGACGAUGCAUAGCCGACCUGAGAGGGUGAUCGGCCACAUUGGGACUGAGACACGGCCCAAACUCCUACGGGAGGCAGCAGUAGGGAAUCUUCGGCAAUGGACGAAAGUCUGACCGAGCAACGCCGCGUGAGUGAAGAAGGUUUUCGGAUCGUAAAACUCUGUUGUUAGAGAAGAACAAGGAUGAGAGUAACUGUUCAUCCCUUGACGGUAUCUAACCAGAAAGCCACGGCUAACUACGUGCCAGCAGCCGCGGUAAUACGUAGGUGGCAAGCGUUGUCCGGAUUUAUUGGGCGUAAAGCGAGCGCAGGCGGUUUCUUAAGUCUGAUGUGAAAGCCCCCGGCUCAACCGGGGAGGGUCAUUGGAAACUGGGAGACUUGAGUGCAGAAGAGGAGAGUGGAAUUCCAUGUGUAGCGGUGAAAUGCGUAGAUAUAUGGAGGAACACCAGUGGCGAAGGCGGCUCUCUGGUCUGUAACUGACGCUGAGGCUCGAAAGCGUGGGGAGCAAACAGGAUUAGAUACCCUGGUAGUCCACGCCGUAAACGAUGAGUGCUAAGUGUUGGAGGGUUUCCGCCCUUCAGUGCUGCAGCUAACGCAUUAAGCACUCCGCCUGGGGAGUACGACCGCAAGGUUGAAACUCAAAGGAAUUGACGGGGGCCCGCACAAGCGGUGGAGCAUGUGGUUUAAUUCGAUGCAACGCGAAGAACCUUACCAGGUCUUGACAUCCUUUGACCACUCUAGAGAUAGAGCUUCCCCUUCGGGGGCAAAGUGACAGGUGGUGCAUGGUUGUCGUCAGCUCGUGUCGUGAGAUGUUGGGUUAAGUCCCGCAACGAGCGCAACCCUUAUUGUUAGUUGCCAUCAUUUAGUUGGGCACUCUAGCAAGACUGCCGGUGACAAACCGGAGGAAGGUGGGGAUGACGUCAAAUCAUCAUGCCCCUUAUGACCUGGGCUACACACGUGCUACAAUGGGAAGUACAACGAGUCGCAAAGUCGCGAGGCUAAGCUAAUCUCUUAAAGCUUCUCUCAGUUCGGAUUGUAGGCUGCAACUCGCCUACAUGAAGCCGGAAUCGCUAGUAAUCGCGGAUCAGCACGCCGCGGUGAAUACGUUCCCGGGCCUUGUACACACCGCCCGUCACACCACGAGAGUUUGUAACACCCGAAGUCGGUGAGGUAACCUUUUGGAGCCAGCCGCCUAAGGUGGGAUAGAUGAUUGGGGUG
rnacentral:rRNA from 1 species